AGAGUUUGAUCAUGGCUCAGAUUGAACGCUGGCGGCAGGCCUAACACAUGCAAGUCGAGCGCGAAAACACUUCGGUGUGAGUAAAGCGGCGGACGGGUGAGUAACGCGUAGGAAUCUACCUAGUAGUGGGGGACAACUCGGGGAAACUCGAGCUAAUACCGCAUACGCCCUACGGGGGAAAGCGGGGGACCUUCGGGCCUCGUGCUAUUAGAUGAGCCUGCGUUGGAUUAGCUAGUUGGUGGGGUAAAGGCCUACCAAGGCGACGAUCCAUAGCUGGUCUGAGAGGAUGAUCAGCCACAUUGGGACUGAGACACGGCCCAGACUCCUACGGGAGGCAGCAGUGGGGAAUAUUGGACAAUGGGCGCAAGCCUGAUCCAGCCAUACCGCGUGUGUGAAGAAGGCCUUCGGGUUGUAAAGCACUUUAAGCAGGGAGAAAAAGCUAUAGGUUAAUACCCUACAGCCUUGAUGUUACCUGCAGAAUAAGCACCGGCUAAUUCCGUGCCAGCAGCCGCGGUAAUACGGAAGGUGCAAGCGUUAAUCGGAAUUACUGGGCGUAAAGCGCGCGUAGGUGGUUUGUUAAGUUGGAUGUGAAAGCCCUGGGCUCAACCUAGGAACUGCAUCCAAAACUAAUUCACUAGAGUACGAUAGAGGGAGGUAGAAUUCAUAGUGUAGCGGUGGAAUGCGUAGAUAUUAUGAAGAAUACCGGUGGCGAAGGCGGCCUCCUGGAUCUGUACUGACACUGAGGUGCGAAAGCGUGGGUAGCGAACAGGAUUAGAUACCCUGGUAGUCCACGCCGUAAACGAUGACAACUAGCUGUUGGAAAACAAUGUUUUUCAGUGGCGCAGCUAACGUUUUAAGUUGUCCGCCUGGGGAGUACGGCCGCAAGGCUAAAACUCAAAUGAAUUGACGGGGACCCGCACAAGCGGUGGAGCAUGUGGUUUAAUUCGAUGCAACGCGAAAAACCUUACCUACUCUUGACAUACUUGGAAGCUCUUGUAAUGAGAGUGUGCCUUUUGGAACCAGGAUACAGGUGCUGCAUGGCUGUCGUCAGCUCGUGUCGUGAGAUGUUCCGUUAAGUCGGAUAACGAGCGCAACCCUUACCCUUAUUUGCCAUCAUUAAGUUGGGCACUCUGAAAGAACUGCCAGUGAUAAGCUGGAGGAAGGUGGGGAUGACGUCAAGUCCUCAUGGCCCUUACGUGUUGGGCUACACACGUGCUACAAUGGUAUAUACAACAGGAAGCAAGACGGCGACGUUAAGCAAAUCCUCAAAAGAUACCUCAGUUCGGAUUGCACUCUGCAACUCGAGUGCAUGAAGCUGGAAUUACUAGUAAUCGUGGAUCAGCGUGCCACGGUGAAUGCGUUCCCGGGUCUUGUACACACCGCCCGUCACACCAUGGGAGUUGGUUCUACCUUAAGGCAAGGUUUCAAACCCUUGACCACGGUAUAGUCAGCGACUGGGGUGAAGUCAUAACAAGGUAACCGUA
rnacentral:rRNA from 1 species